rnacentral:rRNA from 1 species
AUGAUGUGUUAAUUCGAUGCAAACCGCGAAAAACCUUACCACCUUUGACAUGUACGGAAUCCUUUAGAGAUAGAGGAGUUGCUCGAAAAGAGAGCCGUUAACACAGGUGCUGCAUGGCUGUCGUCAGCUCGUGUCGUGAGAUGUUGGUUAAGUCCCGCAACGAGCGCAACCCUUGUCAUUAGUUGCUACAUUCAGUUGGGCACUCUAAAUGAGACUGCCGGUGACAAACCGGAGGAAGGUGGGGAUGACGUCAAGUCCUCAUGGCCCUUAUGGGUAGGGCUUCACACGUAAUACAAUGGUCGGUACAGAGGGUUGCCAACCCGCGAGGGGGAGCCAAUCCCAGAAAACCGAUCGUAGUCCGGAUUGCAGUCUGCAACUCGACUGCAUGAAGUCGGAAUCGCUAGUAAUCGCGGAUCAGCAUGUCGCGGUGAAUACGUUCCCGGGUCUU